GAUGAACGCUAGCGGCAGGCCUAACACAUGCAAGUCGAGGGAGGAGCUUUCGGGCUUCGACCGGCGUACGGGUGCGUAACGCGUAUACAAUCUGCCUUUCACAUAGGGAUAGCCCGAAGAAAUUUGGAUUAAUACCUAAUGGUAUAUAGAGGUGGCAUCACCUUUAUAUUAAAGCUGAGGCGGUGAAAGAUGAGUAUGCGUUCUAUUAGCUAGUUGGAGAGGUAACGGCUCCCCAAGGCGACGAUAGAUAGGGGUUGUGAGAGGGUUAUCCCCCACACUGGGACUGAGAUACGGACCAGACUCCUACGGGAGGCAGCAGUGAGGAAUAUUGGACAAUGGGCGGAAGACUGAUACAGCCAGGCCGCGUGCAGGAAGACGGCCUUAUGGGUUGUAAACUGCUUUUGCAGGGGAAGAAUAAGGAAUACGCGUAGUUUGAUGACGGUACUCUGCGAAUAAGCAUCGGCAAACUCCGU
rnacentral:rRNA from 1 species